CACCCCACUAGAAAAUGUUUGGCCACCCCACCUUUUAUAAAAUGAAAAUCUGCCCUUGCAGGCAACAAUCCCCACACUGGAUUGCUAUAGGGAGAUCUUUAUAAUAUUAUUAAAGCCCUGCCACACAACAUUCUACGUUUGUUUUUAAAACGUGCUGAAAUGGCUGAAGCACAUUGCUAUAAACAUGUAGAAUAAACACUAUAAACUCAUCGCCUUUGGAAAUCACCACACAAACAAUACUUGGAUAUUAACUAUAAAGACGAUCACUAAGUGCAGGGUAAAUUCUGAAAUGCAGGAUAAAUUCAUGCUGAAUCUAAAUUCUUGAAAUCAUAGUGUUCUAAACAUAAAUGCCUUCAUGUAUAUUACCAAAAAGAAAUAAAGCUACCCUUACCUGAAUUAUUGAAAAUAUUGUCCUUAUUUUGCAUCAUGAAAAUAAGCUAGUCAUAACUGUCCUUGAGAACUUGAGAAGAACUUGAUCCGUGUGCAAUACAAAGUAAAUUUUAACCGCCCCCCUCGUUUAAAAAAACUUCUUGAAGCCUCAAUUAUUUCCCUGGAACUACGACAUCUUUACAUACAGACAGACACAAAAUCGAGCUCUCGACAAUACAUAGCUCGGGCAGAGAGACUGGACACAAGUAAACGCGAUACUUCAUGUUAAGAAUAGUGUGCUG